UUUGAAAGGGAAACGAUUGAAGUCAGUCGUACCGGCGGGUAAUCAGCCUUUUGGGUGUGAUUAUGUGGGGCGUGAGGAGUUAAUCACCCUCAUCUUUGCAUAUUCGUGCACUUUGGGUGUACUUGCUCGUGUGGUAGGUUAACAUCAAUUUUGAUUAUCAUAAAAUGAUUGAAGGAAUGUAGCUUCGAUCUUGUAUUGAAGUGUUAUAGCCUUUGGUAGAUGUGAUGAUCGAGAUUGAGGAUUGCAACGGAUACCCUUCGGGCUACCUGUCUGAUCUCUGAAAGUUGCUCUGGUGCUGAAAGCUUGCUUAUGGUAUCAAAGUGACGUCAAUAGUG
rnacentral:rRNA from 1 species